UCUUCUGGCUGAGCAAAGACAGUGGUUUCUCGAGAUGGAAUCUACUCCUGGUGAAGAUGCUGUGAA
rnacentral:pre_miRNA from 1 species